GUGCCAGCAGCCGCGGUAAUACGUAGGAGGCAAGCGUUGUCCGGAAUCACUGGGCGUAAAGCGCGUGUAGGCGGUGCGGGAAGUCUGCUGUGAAAGCGCCUGGCUUAACCGGGCGAGGUCGGCGGAAACUCUCGCACUGGAGGCCGGUAGAGGGGGGUGGAAUUCCCGGUGUAGUGGUGAAAUGCGUAGAGCUCGGGAGGAACACCCGUGGCGCAGGCGGCCCCCUGGGCCGCGCCUGACGCUGAGACGCGAAAGCGUGGGGAGCGAACGGGAUUAGAUACCCCAGUAGUCC
rnacentral:rRNA from 1 species